CCUACGGGAGGCAGCAGUAGGGAAUAUUGCUCAAUGGGGGAAACCCUGAAGCAGCAACGCCGCGUGGAGGAUAAAGGUUUUAGGAUUGUAAACCUCUUUUGUUAGAGAAGAUUAUGACGGCAUCUAACGAUUAAGCACCGUCUAACUCCGUGCCAGCAGCCGCGGUAAUACGGAGGGUGCAAGCGUUACCCGGAAUCACUGGGCGUAAAGGGUGCGUAGGGGGGGUAAUAAGUCAGAUGUGAAAUCCUGUAGCUUAACUACAGAACUGCAUUUGAAACUGUUACUCUGGAGUGUGGGAGAGGUAGGUGGAAUUCGUGGUGUAGGGGUAAAAUGCGUAGAGAUCAAGAAGAAUACUCAUUGCGAAGGCGACCUGCUGGAACAUUACUGACGCUGAUGCACGAAAGCGUGGGGAGCAAACAGGAUUAGAUACCCCUGUAGUC
rnacentral:rRNA from 1 species